AGCUUUGCACAGUGACAGUAUCGUAGCCAAUGAGGUUUAUUUGAGGCACAAUUAUCGCUAAUUGAAAACUUUUCCCAAUAUCCACCAACUUGAAAUAUAGUUGGCAUUUAAAAAAAA
rnacentral:snRNA from 1 species